rnacentral:lncRNA from 1 species
CCUGCGCCCUGAAUAUAUUCAUGAGUAUGGAAUCAUGUCAAACUUAAAUACGUAUUCAUAUCGAUUCUCAAUUAACCAAUGAUGACUCCGAUGAAUUGGCAUUAGAAACUCUUUUUAAUCUCCUUCCUAUUUUUGGUCAAAAGAUUUUUUCUGAGUCAUCUAAGAAUGAGAAUACAUAGGAUGCGAUCUCCUCUUACUAGAAGUG